GCCGGCACCGGCCGCCUACGUGAGGCAACAGUAAGGAAUAUUGGCCAAUGGGCGCAAGCCUAAUCCAGCCAUUCUGCGGGUAGGAAGACGCCUCUAUGGGUUGUGAACUCCUUUUAUUUGGGAAGAACCCCCGGGAUUUAUCCCGGGCUGACGGUACCAAAAGAAUAAGCCCCGGCUAAUUACGCGCCAGCAGCCGCGGUAAUCCGGAAGGUGCAAGCGUUAUCCGGAAUCAGUGGGUUUAAAGGGUGCGUAGGCGGAUGUGUCAGUCAGAAGUGAAAGCUCCCAUCUUAACUGUGGAAUUGCUUUUGAUUCUGCGUGGCUAGAAUUAGGCUGAGGUUGGCGGAAUGCGUCAUGUAGCGGUGAAAUGCAUAGAUAUGUCACAGAACACCAAUUGCGAAGGCAGCUGACUGCACCUAUAUUGACGCUGAGGCCCGAAAGCGUGGGGAGCGAACUGCAUUAGAUACCCUGGUAGUCCUCGCCCUAUACGAUGCUUACUCGAUGUGGGAAUUAUUUAGCAUCCAAGGGAAACGGCUAAGAAGCAAGACGGGGAACCAAUGGAGG
rnacentral:rRNA from 1 species